rnacentral:ncRNA from 1 species
CCCGUUUCGACGGGUCGGGAUGUGACCGUUUCACGGUUGAACCACCAA